rnacentral:rRNA from 1 species
GAUGAACGCUGGCGGCGUGCCUAAUACAUGCAAGUCGAGCGAACAGACGAGGAGCUUGCUCCUCUGACGUUAGCUGCGGACGGGUGAGUAACACGUGGAUAACCUACCUAUAAGACUGGGAUAACUUCGGGAAACCGGAGCUAAUACCGGAUAAUAUAUUGAACCGCAUGGUUCAAUAGUGAAAGACGGUUUUGCUGUCACUUAUAGAUUGAUCCGCGCCGCAUUAGCUAGUUGGUAAGGUAACGGCUUACCAAGGCAACGAUGCGUAGCCGACCUGAGAGGGUGAUCGGACACACUGGAACUGAGACACGGUCCAGACUCCUACGGGAGGCAGCAGUAGGGAAUCUUCCGCAAUGGGCGAAAGCUUGACGGAGCAACGCCGCGUGAGUGAUGAAGGUCUUCGGAUCGUAAAACUCUGUUAUUAGGGAAGAACAAAUGUGUAAGUAACUAUGCACGUCUUGACGGUACCUAAUCAGAAAGCCACGGCUAACUACGUG